rnacentral:rRNA from 1 species
AUGAACGCUGGCGGCGUGCCUAAUACAUGCAAGUCGAGCGAACGGACGAGAAGCUUGCUUCUCUGAUGUUAGCGGCGGACGGGUGAGUAACACGUGGAUAACCUACCUAUAAGACUGGGAUAACUUCGGGAAACCGGAGCUAAUACCGGAUAAUAUUAUGAACCGCAUGGUUCAAAAGUGAAAGACGGUCUUGCUGUCACUUAUAGAUGGAUCCGCGCUGCAUUAGCUAGUUGGUAAGGUAACGGCUUACCAAGGCAACGAUGCAUAGCCGACCUGAGAGGGUGAUCGGCCACACUGGAACUGAGACACGGUCCAGACUCCUACGGGAGGCAGCAGUAGGGAAUCUUCCGCAAAGGGCGAAAGCCUGACGGAGCAACGCCGCGUGAGUGAUGAAGGUCUUCGGAUCGUAAAACUCUGUUAUUAGGGAAGAACAUAUGUGUAAGUAACUGUGCACAUCUUGACGGUACCUAAUCAGAAAGCCACGGCUAACUACGUG